rnacentral:rRNA from 1 species
GUGAAUCAUCGAAUCUUUGAACGCACCUUGCGCUCCUUGGUAUUCCAAGGAGCAUGCCUGUUUGAGUGUCAUGUUAAUAUCAACCCCGUCGGUUUGUUAAUCAGACCGUUGGGUGUUGGACUUGGAGGUUCUUGCUGGCUGCAAAGUCGGCUCCUCUUGAAUGCAUUAGCUUGGGCCUGUUGUGCGUGCUCGCGGUGUAAUAAGUUUUAUUCAUCGUUUUGGGUCGUACACCUAUAGGGCUUGCUUCUAACUGUCUUCGGACAAAUAUAACCUCUGACUCUGACCUCAAAUCAGGUAGGACUACCCGCUGAACUUAA